CAAUAGCGUAUAUUUAAGUUGUUGCAGUUAAAAAGCUCGUAGUCGGAUUUUGGCUGAGAACGAUCGGUCCGCCGUUAGGUGUGCACUGAUUGGUCUCAGCUUCCUGGUGAGGAGGUGUGCUUCACGGCCACUUAGUCACCGUGGUUACUUUGAAAAAAUUAGAGUGUUCAAAGCGGGCUUACGCUUGAAUAUAUUAGCAUGGAAUAACACCAUAGGACUCCUGUCCUAUUUCGUUGGUCUCGGGACGGGAGUAAUGAUUAAGAGGAACAGUUGGGGGCAUUCGUAUUUCAUUGUCGGAGGUGAAAUUCUUGGAUUUAUGAAAGACGAACUUCUGCGAAAGCAUUUGCCAAGGAUGUUUUCAUUGA
rnacentral:rRNA from 1 species